UUCNNUGCCCGAAGGGUGAUGCAGCAACGCCGCGUGAGGGAUGAAGGCCUUCGGGUCGUAAACCUCUUUCGAUCGGGAAAAAUGGGCUGGUGAAGAGCCAGUUCUGAUGGUACCGGAUGAAGAAGCCCCGGCUAACUACGUGCCAGCAGCCGCGGUAAUACGUAGGGGGCGAGCGUUGUUCGGAAUUACUGGGCGUAAAGGGCGUGUAGGCGGUGCGGUAAGUUGGGCGUGAAAUCCCCGAGCUUAACUCGGGUGGGCCGUUCAAGACUGCCGUGCUAGGGUGCGGGAGAGGGAAGUGGAAUUUCCGGUGUAGCGGUGAAAUGCGUAGAUAUCGGGAGGAACACCUGCGGCGAAGGCGGCUUCCUGGACCGUAACCGACGCUGAGGCGCGAAAGCUAGGGGAGCAAACAGGAUUAGAUACCCUGGUAGUCCUAGCCCUAAACGAUGAGCACUGGGUGUGGCCCCUCACGGGGCCGUGCCGAAGCUAACGCAUUAAGUGCUCCGCCUGGGGAGUACGGUCGCAAGGCUGAAACUCAAAAAAAUUGACGGA
rnacentral:rRNA from 1 species